rnacentral:rRNA from 1 species
UACGUAGGGGGCUAGCGUUGUCCGGAAUCAUUGGGCGUAAAGAGCGUGUAGGCGGUCCGGUAAGUCCGCUGUGAAAGUCGGGGGCUCAACCCUCGAAUGCCGGUGGAUACUGUCGGGCUAGAGUGCGGAAGAGGCGAGUGGAAUUCCUGGUGUAGCGGCGAAAUGCGCAGAUAUCGUGAGGAAGACCAGUGGCGAAGGCGGAUCUCUGGACAGUUCCUGACGCUGAGGCGCGAAGGCCAGGGGAGCAAACGGG